rnacentral:piRNA from 1 species
UUCUGACUCGUCUGCCCGGCUACCGCGAUA